rnacentral:rRNA from 1 species
GACGAACGCUGGCGGCGUGCUUAACACAUGCAAGUCGAACGGAAAGGCCCUGCUUUUGUGGGGUGCUCGAGUGGCGAACGGGUGAGUAACACGUGAGUAACCUGCCCUUGACUUUGGGAUAACUUCAGGAAACUGGGGCUAAUACCGGAUAGGAGCUCCUGCUGCAUGGUGGGGGUUGGAAAGUUUCGGCGGUUGGGGAUGGACUCGCGGCUUAUCAGCUUGUUGGUGGGGUAGUGGCUUACCAAGGCUUUGACGGGUAGCCGGCCUGAGAGGGUGACCGGCCACAUUGGGACUGAGGUACGGACCAGACUCCUACGGGCGGCAGCAGUGGGGAAUAUUGCACAAUGGGCGGAAGCCUGAUGCAGCAACGCCGCGUGCGGGAUGACGGCCUUCGGGUUGUAAACCGCUUUCGCCUGUGACGAAGCGUGAGUGACGGUAAUGGGUAAAGAAGCACCGGCUAACUACGUG